rnacentral:rRNA from 1 species
GCUUUACAUAAUUAUUAUUUUUUAAAGAUUUAUAAGUUUAAUCUUAAAAAAUAAAUUUGUGUUUUGUUGGGGUGACAUGAGUAUAAUUUAUUUAACUGCUUAGAUUUUAAGACAUAAAUUAAUGAAUUUGUGAUCCUUAAUAAAGAUUAUUAGAAUAAGUU